CCAUUUUCUGCCACCGAAUACAUUAGCAUGGGAUAAUGGAAUAGGACCCUGUCCUCCUAUUUUCAGUUGGUUUUGGCAGCGCGAGGACUAGGGUAAUGAUUAAUAGGGAUAGUUGGGGGCAUUAAUAUUUAAUUGUCAGAGGUGAAAUUCUUGGAUUUAUGAAAGAUUAACUUCUGCGAAAGCAUCUGCCAAGGAUGUUUUCAUUAAUCAAGAACGAAAGUUAGGGGAUCGAAGACGAUCAGAUACCGUCGUAGUCUUAACCAUAAACGAUGCCGACCAGCGAUUAGGAGACGUUGAAUACAAAACACCACCAUCGGCGCGGUCGUCCUUGGCGUCUCGGUCCUUCACGGGGCCGGGGCGCGGGGGCGGCUUAGCCCGGUGGCACCGGUGAAUGACUCCCUA
rnacentral:rRNA from 1 species